rnacentral:rRNA from 1 species
AAACCAGCACCUCAAGUGGUCAGGAUGAUUAUUGGGCCUAAAGCAUCCGUAGCCGGCUCUGUAAGUUUUCGGUUAAAUCUGUACGCUCAACGUACAGGCUGCCGGGAAUACUGCAGGGCUAGGGAGUGGGAGAGGUAGACGGUACUCGGGAGGAAGUGGUAAAAUGCUUUGAUCUCUCGAUGACCACCUGUGGCGAAGGCGGUCUACCAGAACACGUCCGACGGUGAGGGAUGAAAGCUGGGGGAGCAAACCGGAUUAGAAACCCGGGUAGUCC